GAUGAAGAACGCAGUGAAAUGCGAUAAGUAAUGUGAAUUGCAGAAUUCAGUGAAUCAUCGAAUCUUUGAACGCACCUUGCGCCCUUUGGCUAUUCCGAAGGGCAUGCCUGUUUGAGUAUCAUGAACACCUCAACUCUCAUGGUUCGCCAUGAUGAGCUUGGACUCUGGGGGUCUUGCUGGCCUAUGGUCAGCUCCUCUCAAAUAAAUCAGCUUGCCAGUGUUUGGUGGCAUCAUAGGUGUGAUAACUAUCUACGCUUGUGGUUUUCCAUCAGGUAACCUUCAGUGAUGGAGGUUCGCUGGAGCUCAUAAAUGUCCCUCCUCAGCGAGGACAGCUUUUUGAACGUUUGAUCUCAAAUCAGGUAGGACUACCCGCUGAACUUAAGCAUAUCAAUAAGCGGAGGA
rnacentral:misc_RNA from 1 species